AGCGAACGCUAGCGGCAGGCUUAACACAUGCAAGUCGAGCGCCAGGUUUCGGCCUGGAGCGGCGAACGGGUGAGUAACACGUAGGUCACGUACCCUAUGGUGGGGAAUACCCCGGGGAAACUCGGAUCAAUGCCCCAUAUGUCCGAAAGGAUGAAAGCGCUUCGGCGCGCCAGAGGAUCGGCCUGCGGCCCAUUAUUUAAUCCUAGUUGGUGAGGUAACGGCUCACCAAGGGUACGAUGGGUAGCUGGUCUGAGAGGACGAUCAGCCACACUGGAACUGAGACACGGUCCAGACUCCUACGGGAGGCAGCAGUGGGGAAUAUUGGACAAUGGGCGAAAGCCUGAUCCAGCCAUGCCGCGUGAGUGAUGAAGGCCUUCGGGUUGUAAAGCUCUGUCGUGGGGGAAGAAGUUCUGACGGUACCCCACAAGAAAGCACCGGCUAACUCCGUGCCAGCCGCCGCUGUAAAAC
rnacentral:rRNA from 1 species